AGUAAUGAAGGUGUUGAUUCAAGUUACUACUGAAGAGUGGUAGAAAAUUGGCCCACCUGUAGGGGAUGAAGAAUCAGGAACAGGUAGUAUGUUUGUGUCAGCAUCAUGUAUUGGUCACAAGAGUCUUCUGGAGCUAUAGUUGCCUAACUGCCUGGAAGCAGAAGUGGAGAUGGGAUAAUGUGACUUGCUGUGGCAUGUUAUGCUUAGUCAGAUACUAAACAGGCUGCAUGUUCAGAGAUGUUUAUUCAAGAAUUUUCCCAUUGCGUUCUUUUCCUUCUCCAAAGCAAUAUUUGUAAAUACUUAAAUUAACAAACUUGAGAACACUCUUGUUUCUUUUCACAAAAGAGAACAUCUGAAUUAAGUUCUUAUUUGAGUUCUCAUCUGUAUUCAGGUGUUGCCCCAAUAUAAUGGAAUUGAGAAGCAGUAUCAGGGUUAAGAUUGUAGAGACUUCAUAGGCAGUAUGUAUAGUAUGUUACCCCAGCUUAUCAUAAAGGCACAACUGAAAAUUCUCUGAAGUCCUAUGUGACAUCAUCCAAACUGGCUGAGCAUUCUCAUACUUGAAGGAAUCAGCCAGGAACUAAUGUAUCCACUCUCACUGCGGUGAAAACAGUUCAAUCAAAUUGUUAUUAAGUCAUAGCUCAUGCUAGGUUCGAUAAGCAGUUUGCAGUGAUAUAUUUGAUCAGCUGUAGUUAGUGAUGAAGACUUUCUUGUCACAUGGUGUCUAGCAGUGUGAUGCCAAUCUACUUUGCUAACUGAUACAGAUAGCUUUUGUAGGUUACAAAAAUACGGGCUUAAUGUGGAAAAAUAUCACUCGGUUCAUCAACUUGUACGAAAGCAGUGAGAAAUAAAGAUAAUAAAAUUUGUUUAAACAAAGAAAUGGAUGAAAUAAACUACUCUGCAAGAUUUCUUUUUCUAGAUAAAUAUCUUGCAAGAUUUCUUUCUGUAACUUGAAUUCCAAAAGAAAGCAAAUAUCAUGACUGUUUUAUUUCCAGUAUCUCAAUUUUAUGUAAGAAGUUUGUCCUGGAGUAUAAAAGCCUGUCUAAUGCUCUGACAAGAAGGCAUUAUUUUACUGAUUUUGAAAAAUAUUCCAAAACAAAAAUGACAUGUAAUUAAACUGUAUGGAAAUAACUAAUUAUUUUUCAGGCUCCUUUCUGUCCUUUGAUAACUCUAAUUUGGCCUGUAGUUGUAAAAUUAAGUGUUUGAAAGUAAUAGCUUUAAAAACAGAUAAAAAAUAAUCCUGUUUUCUGUAUAUUUUUAAUGGAGACACUAUAAUGUUUACUACAUUAUAGCUGCAUCCUUUAUUUAGUAUUGCACUUCCCCUGCAGGAAAUCAGAAGUUUCCUGAAUGGACACAGUAAUUUGAACAAACUUAUUUGGAAAUAAUGUAAGGAUAAAUGUAUCUGUUAUAUUUUUGUACAUUGACACCAAUAGAUAAUCAAAUAUAUUAAUAUCAGAAAGGCAAUGCUAUUAAGCAGUUACUUCACCCAUCCUACUUCCAUCUAUCUGUUUCUACUAUGAGAAUUCACGCAGGAGUCAAAAGAUAUCAGAAUUGUAUUACUCUAGUUCGAAAUACUUGACCACCAUGCAGUAGAAACUAUGCAUGCAGAUAAUCUGUGUAUUUAUAUCUCAUACUGUGAAGCAUAUACAUAAUGAUUUUAACAUUAACAGAACUAGUAAUGAAUAUUCAUGUUUAUCAGUCGUGUUCUAAUUAAAUUUACUUAGAUGUUGACAUGCAAGGCCAAAGUAGCUGCUUCAGAGUUGUUAAAAAAAAAAUUGUUCUAAUGUUUGAUGUAUUAAAUGGGUGUCUCAUGCUAGAAGUAGUAAUAACAAUAAUACCAAAGUAAAUUAAUGUCCCAAAAGAUGAUUCUAUGCUAGAGCUUUGUAUGAUGACCACGAGUGGUCUUCUCACAGACAUGUUGUGAGAAUGUUUUCAUGUCUGUUUGUGUCACAGUCACUAACAAAGGGGAAUUAAGAUCCAGAUUUCAGUAACUUGGCUGCCAAACGCUAUAUUACAGUAUAGUUUCUAUGUACAUGAAGGUAUUGGAUUGAAUUUGUAUGUUAAGAUGGAGAACCUUUUUGCUGUGUAGUUGUUAAUGAAUUUUGAACUAAACUU
rnacentral:lncRNA from 7 species